UGGGGAAUAUUGCACAAUGGGCGGAAGCCUGAUGCAGCGACGCCGCGUGGGGGAUGAAGGCCUUCGGGUUGUAAACUCCUUUCGACAGGGACGAAGCUUUUGUGACGGUACCUGUAUAAGAAGCACCGGCUAACUACGUGCCAGCAGCCGCGGUAAUACGUAGGGUGCGAGCGUUGUCCGGAAUUACUGGGCGUAAAGAGCUCGUAGGUGGUUUGUCGCGUCGUCUGUGAAAUUCCGGGGCUUAACUCCGGGCGUGCAGGCGAUACGGGCUUACUUGAGUGCUGUAGGGGAGACUGGAAUUCCUUGUGUAGCGGUGAAAUGCGCAGAUCUCAGGAGGAACACCGAUGGCGAAGGCAGGUCUCUGGGCAGUAACUGACGCUGGGGCGCGAGAGCAUGGGUAGCGAACAGG
rnacentral:rRNA from 1 species